rnacentral:rRNA from 1 species
AUUGAACGCUGGCGGCAGGCCUAACACAUGCAAGUCGAGCGGAGCGGCGGACGGGUGGGUAAUGCCUAGGAAUCUGCAUGGUAGUGGGGGAUAACGUCCGGAAACGGGCGCUAAUACCGCAUACUCUCAGAUGAGCCUAGGUCGGAUUAGCUGGUUGGUGGGGUAAAGGCCUACCAAGGCGACGAUCCGUAACUGGUCGGAUAGGAUGAUCAGUCACACUGGAACGGAUACACGGUCCAGAUGCCUACGGGAGGCAGCGGUGGGGAAUAUUGGACCAUGGGCGAAAGCCUGAUCCAUCCAUGCCGCGUGUGUGAAGAAGGUCUUCGGAUUGUAAAGCACAUUAAGUUGGGAGGCGUUACCAACAGAAUAAGCACCGGCUAACUUCGUGCCAGCAGCCGCGGUAAUAC